UGGGGGAUAUUGCACAAUGGGCGAAAGCCUGAUGCAGCGACGCCGCGUGGGGGAUGAAGGCUUUCGUGUUGUAAACCUCUUUCGCUAUCGAACAAGGCCCGCUUAGGGUGGGUUGAGGGUAGGUGGAGAAGAAGCGCCGGCUAACUACGUGCCAGCAGCCGCGGUAAUACGUAGGGCGCGAGCGUUGUCCGGAAUUAUUGGGCGUAAAGGGCUUGUAGGCGGCUUCUUGCGCCUGCUGUGAAAACGCGGGGCUUACCUUCGGGCGUGCAGUGGGUACGGGCAGGCUUGGGUGUGGUAGGGGUGACUGGAAUUCCAGGUGUAGCGGUGGAAUGCGCAGAUAUCUGGAGGAACACCGAUGGCGAAGGCAGGUCACUGGGCCAUUACUGACGCUGAGGAGCGAAAGCAUGGGUAGCGAACAGG
rnacentral:rRNA from 1 species